GAUGAAGAACGUAGCAAAAUGCGAUAAGUAAUGUGAAUUGCAGAAUUCAGUGAAUCAUCGAAUCUUUGAACGCACAUUGCGCCCGCCAGUAUUCUGGCGGGCAUGCCUGUUCGAGCGUCAUUUCAACCCUCAAGCACAGCUUGGUGUUGGGACUCGCGUUAAUUCGCGUUCCUCAAAUUGAUUGGCGGUCACGUCGAGCUUCCAUAGCGUAGUAGUAAAACCCUCGUUACUGGUAAUCGUCGCGGCCACGCCGUUAAACCCCAACUUCUGAAUGUUGACCUCGGAUCAGGUAGGAAUACCCGCUGAACUCAAGCAUAUCAAUAAGCGGAGGA
rnacentral:misc_RNA from 1 species